rnacentral:rRNA from 1 species
AGCCCUCCAGCGCCGAUGGUACUGCGACCGACAGGUCGUGGGAGAGUAGGACACCGCCGGAA